CUUGGUCAUUUAGAGGAAGUAAAAGUCGUAACAAGGUUUCCGUAGGUGAACCUGCGGAAGGAUCAUUAACGAAUUGUAGUGGGGGGUUGAUGCUGGUAGUCAGCUAUCUGGCUGCAGGUGCUCGCUCCCGACACAUUUUUACAAUCCAAACACCUGUGCACUGUUGAGGGUUUUCCGAGUUAAUUGCUGUUGUGCGGCGGUUUGCUUGGAAUCCCCUUCUCCCUUCACAUACACUGUUACUAAUAUUGAACGUGCUUGUGCCGUAAGGCAUUAACAGAAAUACAACUUUUAACAACGGAUCUCUUGGCUCUCGCAUCGAUGAAGAACGCAGCGAAAUGCGAUAAGUAAUGUGAAUUGCAGAAUUCAGUGAAUCAUCGAAUCUUUGAACGCACCUUGCGCUCCCUGGUAUUCCGAGGAGCACGCCUGUUCGAGUGUCGUGAAAUUCUCAAGCUGGAUGGCUUUUGUUAUCAAGAGCUGUCUUGGCUUGGUAUUUGGGCUCUGCCGUGUCCUUUACUGGAACGGCUGGCCUUAAAAGCAUUAGCUGACUCUCAAUGUGGGUGCUGGUUCUACUCAGCGUGAUAAUGUUUUGACCGCUGAGGACAUCUCCCGAGAUGGCCAGUCCUCGUUGGGGUUGCCUUCUAAUCUGGAAUCACGGAUUCUCAUGUCUGUGUGCCGCUUUCAAUUUUGACCUCGAAUCAGGUGGGACUACCCGCUGAACUUAAGCAUAUCAAUAAGCGGAGGA
rnacentral:rRNA from 1 species